rnacentral:rRNA from 1 species
UACGGUGAAUACGUUCCCGGACCUUGUACACACCGCCCGUCAAGCCUUUAUGGAAGCCGGGUGUACCUAAAGUCGGUAACCGCAAGGAGCCGCCUAGGGUAAAACUGGUGACUGGGGCU